rnacentral:rRNA from 1 species
GUCGAGCGGAUUGUUCCUUCGGGAACAGUUAGCGGCGGACGGGUGAGUAACACGUAGGCAACCUGCCUGCAGGAUCGGGAUAACUACCGGAAACGGUAGCUAAGACCGAAUACAAGACUUUGACGCAUGUCGGAGUUUGGAAACACGGAGCAAUCUGUGACCUGUAGAUGGGCCUGCGGCGCAUUAGCUAGUUGGUGAGGUAACGGCUCACCAAGGCGACGAUGCGUAGCCGACCUGAGAGGGUGAACGGCCACACUGGGACUGAGACACGGCCCAGACUCCUACGGGAGGCAGCAGUAGGGAAUCUUCCGCAAUGGACGCAAGUCUGACGGAGCAACGCCGCGUGAGUGAUGAAGGUUUUCGGAUCGUAAAGCUCUGUUGCCAGGGAAGAAAGGCCAGGAGAGUAACUGCUCUUGGAUUGACGGUACCUGAGAAGAAAGCCCCGGCUAACUACGUGCCAGCAGCCGCGGUAAUACGUAGGGGGCAAGCGUUGUCCGGAAUUAUUGGGCGUAAAGCGCGCGCAGGCGGUCAUUUAAGUUUGGUGUUUAAUUCCGGGGCUCAACCCCGGGUCGCAUCGAAAACUGGGUGACUGGAGUGCGGGAGAGGAAAGUGGAAUUCCACGUGUAGCGGUGAAAUGCGUAGAGAUGUGGAGGAACACCAGUGGCGAAGGCGACUUUCUGGACCGUAACUGACGCUGAGGCGCGAAAGCGUGGGGAGCAAACAGGAUUAGAUACCCUGGUAGUCCACGCCGUAAACGAUGAGUGCUAGGUGUCGGGGGUUUCAAUACCCGCGGUGCCGAAGUUAACACAGUAAGCACUCCGCCUGGGGAGUACGCUCGC